rnacentral:lncRNA from 1 species
AGUUUCUGCCCUGUCCCAUCACAUUAUGAACCCCUCAGUUGAUUCAUCCAAUGAAGAGGUCAUAGUUCCAGGGCUCAAUUCCCUCCUCAAUCAUCCCUUCUGAAUGCUGAACUGGGUUAUGACUAGAAGCUGUUGGAGCUGUUGGAAGGGCUGAGAUUGCCAGGGUGCAGAAGAGAGUCAGUCACCAUUUCCAGUUCAAAAUCCCGGUUGCUAGAGCAAGACUCACAAAGUUCCAAGUGCUUCGGGUUCCUGGGGAGACAUCAUCUUUGUGUGAAAUUGUGUGGGAAGAAGAGAGAAAGCUCCACACUGUCUCUCUGAUGCGGUACUCAUUGAACUGCCCCAGGAGGACCCGUGGCGCACUUUUGCUGUAUCAGCUCAGGGGCUGCCACAUAAUCCAGGCUCAUCCUGUAACCUUGGGCAGUAGUUUUUCAAUUAAUUCUGUCUUGAAUCUGAGGGAGAAAGUGAAAAGGAAGAAAGACAAUGGGAACUAGAGAUGGCAAUGUGGGGCAGGGAGAGGGACACACACAAA